rnacentral:tRNA from 1 species
GCAUCAAUGGUGGAACUGGUAUACACACAGCACUUAAAAUGCUGCGCCUUUUGGAUUGUGGGUUCGAAUCCCACUUGAUGCACCA